rnacentral:rRNA from 1 species
GACGAACGCUGGCGGCGUGCUUAACACAUGCAAGUCGAACGAUGAAGCCGGAGCUUGCUCUGGUGAAUUAGUGGCGAACGGGUGAGUAACACGUGAGUAACCUGCCCUUGACUCUGGGAUAACUGCGGGAAACUGUAGCUAAUACCGGAUACGACCCUCGGAGGCAUCUCCUGGGGGUGGAAAGAAUUUCGGUCAAGGAUGGACUCGCGGCCUAUCAGCUAGUUGGUGAGGUAAAGGCUCACCAAGGCGACGGCGGGUAGCCGGCCUGAGAGGGUGACCCGCCACCAUGGGACUGAGACACGGCCCAGACGCCGACGGGAGGCAGCAGUGGGGAAUAUUGCACAAUGGGCGCAAGCCUGAGGCACCGACGCAGCGUGAGGGAGGACGGCCUUCGGGUUGUAAACCUCUUUUAGCAGGGAAGAAGCGAAAGUGACGGUACCUGCAGAAAAAGCACCGGCUAACUACGUGCCAGCAGCCGCCGUAA